rnacentral:tRNA from 2 species
AGCUCCGAGGUGGUGGCCAUGUUGGAUUGCAAAUCCAAAGAAGCAGCUUCAAUUCUGCCGGGGCUU